rnacentral:sRNA from 1 species
UAAUUUACCUGGGUGGGGGGAUCUCGCGAUCAAGAAGGCGGGACCCCAAUGGUGAGGCCCAUGCAUUGCAUUUUAGCAAGGGCAGACCUGUGUGGCAGCCUCGAGUUAAGGUUAGCCAACCUCUUACCACGAGUACGCCACUAGCUACGCAUGAGUUCUGU